AUUCCAUGAUGAGGGCAUUUUUUUAAUAACUCUUUGUACCUUUCCCAUGCCUUAUACAAGGACUCAUCAUCCAUUUGUUGGAAAGUAGUGAUCUCAUUCCUCAACUU
rfam:Gossypium raimondii chromosome 10, whole genome shotgun sequence.